GGAAUUGCUAGUAAUGGCAGGUCAGCAUACUGCCGUGAAUACGUUCCCGGGCCUUGUACACACCGCCCGUCACACCAUGAGAGUUAGGAAUACCCGAAGCCUGUGAGCCAACUUGUAAAAGAGGCAGCAGUCGAAGGUAGAACUAAUGAUUGGGGUGAAGUCGUAACAAGGUAAC
rnacentral:rRNA from 1 species